rnacentral:rRNA from 1 species
AUGCUCCACCUCCGGCAGCGCGUCCUCUCCCAUCUCCUCUUCGCCGCGCCCUCUCCUUCCGCCUCACCACUCCUCUCUCUCCACCGCCUCCUCUCCGCCGCCGCUGCCCCCCGCAUUUCUCCAAACCCUAGCUUCGCCGUCGACGACUACCUCGUCGAGACCUGCGGCCUCACCCGUGCCCAGGCACUCAAGGCCUCCGCCAAGCUCUCCCACCUCAAGUCCCCCGCCAACCCCGACGCUGUCCUCGUCUUCCUCGCCGGCCUCGGCCUCUCCGGCGCUGAUGUCGCGGCUGUCGUCGCCAGGGACCCGCAGAUCCUCUGCGCCGGCGUGGAGACAACUCUGUCCCCCAUCGUCGACGGGCUCACCGGCCUCGGCCUGUCAAAUGCUGAGACUGCGCGCCUCGUCUCGAUCGCCCCCGAUAGCUUGCGCCGCAGAUCCGUCGUCUCCAAGGUAGAGUACUACCUGCCACUCUUCGGCUCCAUCGACAACUUGCUCCGGCUGCUCAAACAUGGCCACUUCUUCCUCGGCUCUAACCUCGAGAAGGUGGUCAAGCCAAAUGUCAAGCUCGUAGCAGAGUGCGGGCUAGGUGCUUGUGAUAUUGCCAAGCUCUUCAUCUGUGUGCCGAGGAUGCUUAGCGCCAAACCAGGGCGUGUCCUGGAGAUGGUUGCGUGCGCCGAAGGUAUAGGUGUGCCCCGUGGCUCUGGAAUGUUCAGGCAAGCGCUGCACGCCGUCUCAUGCUUCAGCGAGGACAAGAUCGCUGCCAAAGUGGACUACUUGAAGAGGACACUUAGGUGGUCAGAUACCGAGGUUGGCAUUGCUGUGUCCAAGGCUCCGCUUUUGCUGAGGAGGUCAAAUGACAUGCUGCAGCGCGUCUCAGAGUUCCUUAUCUCUGAGGUGGGGUUGGAACCGACAUACAUUGCUCAUCGGCCGACUAUUCUCAGUCGUAGCCUUGAGGGGCGGCUCAGGCCACGGUACUAUGUUAUGAGGUUUCUUAAAGAAAAUGGAUUGCUCAAGCGCAACCAAAGCUACUGUACAAUUGUUAAAUGGACCGAGAAAGAGUUCUUGGAGAACUUCGUAUGCCCUCACAAGGAAGCUGCACCAUACCUCGCUGAAGACUAUGCGGCUGCUUGCAAAGGUGAAGUGCCGGCUAGAUUCAGAUAA